GUUUUAGUAAUUUAAUAAAAAUAAUGGUUUUGUAAACCAAAAUUGAGAAAUUUUCUCCUAAAACU
rnacentral:tRNA from 1 species